UUUCCCAAUGGCUACUGCUGAAGGGUGUCUCACGGUCAUAAUAAGAACCACAGGGGCCGGGCCAGCCAGCACACUGGAUACUGGUGGGCAGACACAACAGCCAUGCAGGUGUAUUUCCUACGGUGGUGGUCGGAGAUGACAGUCUGAGUCCUUGACUUGCCAUAAUCCACCUCGCGUUAGUGCUCUUGCCCGUCCUGAGCCAUUCAGGCACCUGGCACGGCAAAGCUUCACCACCUCCGCCCCAUUGCACUUUGUUGUCUCAACGUUUACCUGCAUGUAUGUCAUAAACCCACAAGAUGUUGGAGUUGUUGCUUUAGACCAUAGGAACUGCGUGAAGAUCCCUGGACUCUCCGCGUAGAUGACGAGGCCUGCACAAUAAGGACGGUUUUGCUUCUUGCUGUCCACCCUGAAAACCUGUUCUUUUUUCUUUGCCUUAUUUGACUGGCCAAGUCCUCUGGUGAAAGGAGCAGACGUCGUGGAGCCGCCGACUCCCCCUGGCGGGGAGCUGCAGUUUCUCGCCUUCAGAUCCACACCAGCCCUGGGUUUCCCACAGCCCCUUCCCCAGGUGAGGGAGUUCCUUUCCAGUACUAGUUUGAUCGUGAAUUGAGCCGAAAUUUGUCAAAUGGCUUUUCUGUGUCUAUUGAGAUGAACGCACAGUUUUUCCCUCGUUUUGGUCUUUUAAUACGGUGAGUUACGUUGAUUUAUUUCCAAACGUCAUCACCUUUCCGCUCCGUGCAUAAAGCCCGCUCGCUCGUGCUCCUUCCUGUCUCAGGGUUGCUGGCUCAGAGGCUGGCCUUGGCUUGGAGGGGGAAGUGGGCCCUGAAGGGGCAGCAGGGCGGGUCUGUCUUGGAGGCGGAGGGGAGGGUGCCCUCAUGACUCCCCCGACAUGCUUUGCCAGGAGUAAUGCAACCCUUCAUGAGGGCUCUGGGCCUGCCCCCAGGGUGCCUUUGUCUGCCUGUGGCGGCCAGCAUCGCCCACCUGCCAGGCUAUCAGCAGGCACGGGGCACCGAGGAGAGCCCGGUUACCGCCCCAUCUUCCUACGGAUUUCCUCUCUUCACCAGGAUUCAGAGGCAACCCCAGGUCGUCAAUCAGCCCUGUCAACAAAGCGCUUCUUCUGCUGGCUGUUCUACUGGCAGGAGGACCCCACAACAUCCAGAGGGCAGCACAGAUUUCCGUGUAGUAGAACCCUUCCCGGGCCCCCGGGGACCCCCCAUCCUGCGCCAGGCCUUCUGUUGCAGCAGACGGUAACGUUAUGGAGAACAGGGCUCUGGAAAUGGGGUGAGGGGAGCGCUCGUUCCUGGGCCCACACGCUGGUCUUAGGAUCACAGUGUCACGCGGCAGCCACUUUGACGGGAACCAGCCACACCUGCUCAGGGCCAUCCGCACUCCAGUGUCUGGGCUUCCCUUUGAGGGUCGUGCUCGGUCUCCACAGCUGCCAAGCGAGGAGGGUGCGAUGUGAACAGUGGACUCCUUGUCCGUGUGCCCAACAUCAUUCCUCGUGUUCUGGGGUGAACUAUGUCCCCAGAAGGACGUGCUCAAUCCCACCCCCGGAACCUGUGACUGUGACAUUAUUUGUGGAUAGGGCCGUGCACAUGGAAUCAGGUUAAGAUGAGGUCGGACUGGAUUAGGGUGGGCCCCAAAUCCAGUAUGACUGUGUCCUUGUAAGAAGAGGGAAGUUGGGACACAGAGACAUGCAGAGAGGGGAGACCAUGUGAACAUGGGGCACAGAGUGGGGUGAUGCUGCCGCAAAGCGAGGAGCGCCGAGGCGCGCCGGCACCCCCGGGGGCUGGAAGGAGCCGCUGAGGAGCGUCCCCGGGCCCUCAGAGAGCCCGGCCUCCUGGCGCCCUGAUUUUUGGAGCUCCAGCUCCAGAGCUGUGAGCACACGAGCUUCUUUUGUUGUGAGUAGGGCAAAUGCACGGAGUUCCUUCCAGCAGCCCUGGGACACUCAGGUCUGUGGGUGUGGAGUUUGUCCCUUUGUCUGAGGUGAUAUCACAGGAGAUUCCUGGCAGCACAUCGCUCUGUGAUUCUCAGAGAAAGGUGCCGAUCGAGGCCCUUGGGGCAAAAAAGCAAACCCGCACCUGGCACAGGCAGCAAUCCCAGCAGGACCAAGACCGCCCCCCAAGGCGGGACUGGCACAAACCCUCCCCACGGGCGGCUGGUGGCCUCCGUGCAGGACGGCGCUCUGCGGGCGGCUCCAAUCUCGGUGCCAAGAUGUGGGGGUCUCAGCAGCAGCAGCAGCAGCAGCAGCCUUGGUGGGGGCGUCCUGCUCCUGGACCCCCGCGCAGCCUCCCUCCCACCACCAUGGCCGCUGUGUCCGCGAGCUCCCGGUGGCGGCACUGGCUCACAGAGGGCAGCGCUUUGCAGCCAGAGUCCGGGGCGGUAACUAUCCCAUCCACCCGCGUCAGGGUGGCGGUCCAGGGACCUACCCCACAGAGAGCCACCGAGAGGGACGGUAGAACAUGGCGACCCUGAGGGCAAAGCGGAUGGUCAGCCACCAGAGCACUGUCCACCGUUCCCGGCUCCCCAUUCCCAGCUCCCCAUUCGUGCCGCGGUUUGCCCCAGCAGAGGAGGUCUAGACGGUAAAUGGGAGGCUGAGUGCAGUCACCCCAAGAAAAAGUCGCAGCCCCUCACCCGGGUUCAGGACCUCAGCCAGUUUUCAGACCUGGGACUCAUGGGCUGGGGGUGCUGGGUCCCCGCAAGAAAGGAACUCACCACAACAGGAGCACACGGGUAGGGACCCCAGCCCUUCCCCCAGAGGUGCGCAGGCUUUAGCCAAGGGGACUGUCCACGGAGGCAAGGGGGCACCAGAUGCUUCAGGAACUGUGGGAUGAGGGUGUGAGCUGUCAUUCAUGUCCCGAGACCUGAAAGACUGUCAUAACCCCCACUAGCGCGGGGCCUGUGGGGGCUGCCAGGAGCUCAGCUGAGCUGCAGAGAGAGCUGAGCUGUCAGGGGGUCGGAGGAGCCCAAGAGCCAGAGCAGAAAUGGAGGGAAGGGUGGGUCUUCAGCGCUUCCUGUGACAGUGUGAGCCACAGGCUAGAAGUGGAGGGAAGCGCCACCUCCCCCUGUUCCGUUUCCCUGCAUGGAACAGUGUGGAAUAGCAUGUCUGACUGACGUGGGCGUCGGGGAUCAUCUCCCCAUGAGGGAACCCUGAGCAAGGGCUCCUGCAGUUUUAGGACCCAGGGGUUGGGGAGAGGCUGAGGGGAGGCCAGUGGCACCUGGGCUGGGCCUGCAGGUGUGUGUCGGGGCAUAGUGGCUGGGGGCCUGCAUCCUUGACUCCCCUGAGAGGCUGCAGUGCUCCACCAAGCCCCACGUCAGCUGUGGGGACACUUGGCCCUGAGGCCCGCCUGCUGGGAGAGCCUUUGUAGCUGAAAGCACACACAGGGGUUCCGCCUGCAGCCGGACGACCCGACUCCACUCCUCGGUUUCUUGGGACGUGAGUGAGACACAGGCUGUCCAUCACAGAGCCGAAUGGCUGGGACUUUGAGGGGCUGGGACAGUGACCAGGCAAGCAGUCAGAGGCAUCAGUGGACCAAGUCCAGGAUCAAGGUCACUCCCAGCAUGCCAAUGGGGCCAGCCUGGUGGGCGGACCCCAACUGUGCAUCUCAUCAUGACCAUGGCAGGGAGAGAUGCCGCUGAGCGCACCGGGUCUACCUCGGAGAACUCCGCCUGCGUCGUCCUCACCUGUGCCAGGAAGCAGCUCAGAUGACCAGCUCUGGCCAGUGACUCAAGGCUGAGCCCAUGGCACCAGGGCUGGGCAGAGUCCUGACGGCCAGGGCACACGGAAAAAACACAGUCCCACGGGGCUCGUGGGGUCCCCUAGACACACAGAGUCUGUGAUGUCAGGACAUGAAAUGGACCGGCAGGGUCACAGGGCUCCCAGUGAGGCCUUCGUCAUGGGCCCCUGCCCUGGGGCCUCCCACCAGGCCCCCCUGUCAGCCCCGCUUGACCCAGGCUCACCAGCCACUCAGUGCUGCUGCUCGGAAAGGCAGCUCCGGAGUGUUUCGUCCUGCGUGGGUUUGGUCUGUUUGUUUAGGAGGAGGAGGAGCUUCCAGGAGCAAGUCUGGAUACAGCCCGUGAGUGUCCCCUCCCGGCCUCCCCCAGCGCCAGGCCUAGUGCUGUCAUCAGUGUGUCCCCUUCGGUCGUCAAGCUCCACAUUACUAAGAGAACUGCUUGCUCUCUUCAUCUCGAACUUCCGUCACCCAAGGACGGAGCAUUUAGCAGAAACACAUUUCUAUGUGAAUCCGUCCUGUUCCAGAAUUGAUCAGCACCAAAUCCUGAAUUUCUAAACUAUUCUCAAAUGGGUUCACAUAGCCGCUUAAUAGCCGUCUUAGUUUCCCAUCUGUUUGAGUCUUAAGAAACGGGCAGAGGGGCAGAAGGCCCUUGCAGGGUCUCCCACGGAGGCCGCGGCGUCAGUGCCUGGAAGGAAGGGUGCCGGCCAAUGGCAGGGUGGAUGGUGCGGUCAGUGAGAAGUGCCCGUCGCCGCGCAGUCACAUGAGACUCAGACGGCUGCCCAAGAUGUGCGGUCCGGUGGGGGUCCUCUUGUCCCCCUCGUCGGCUGCCUGGGCCUGUCCUUUAAUUGUCCGCUGGCUCGCUCCAGCACCCUGUGGCCUGAGGGUGAAAUGGGGCCUGGAGAGUCCCCUGCACGUCCAGGAUGGGUCCACUGAUGCACAGCCUGGGCUGCGAACCCAGUGCUGUCGUCCGACGCAAUGAGCUCGGGACCCAAACAGGAACCGAAGAUGGUUGUGCGGGGCCUGGACGGUGUGGCCGGGUCAGCAGGAUGCACAGGGCCACACCUGGAGCGAGUGUCAAUGCCACCAGGACCCAGUGGACGCCCUGGCAGAGCCAGAAGCCCAGGGGAUCCACCUGCAGGGACCUUUCCCCAGCGGUGUCUGGCCUCAGCGGGGUCUGGCAGGCCGCUGUCUUUCCCUGCUGUUCCUGUCUCGGGACGAAGGGGGCAGUCAUGUGCAGGCCCAGGCAGGGACGGGGCUGACACCCAUGGGCUGGCCUCUCGGGGAGCAAGAACCACAGGCCGGGCCCUGCCCGCUCGGAGUGAGAGCUCUUUCCUCUCAGUGUUCAGCUGACAAGUGGGGGCUGCAGAGCGGCCUCUUUGGGGCGCAGCCGUUUGGGUAAGAGAAUGCUCACCGGGAGCAGAGCUGAGUUUUACCAAAUGCCCGGUCCCUCAAGGGACUCACUGUCUGUGCCACCUGAGGCUGGCCAGUGGCGGCUCACAGCCAUGAGCCAGGUGGGCUUGCCCUCCUCCCAUGCCCGAGAAGGCCCGAACUCCCGCAGUUCCUGUCCGGGCUCGGGACGAAGGCCACACACCAACACCAUGAGCACACUCAGCUUGGGGACCAUGACAGUGGCAGUUGCCGGGACCCAAGGGACCCACCCAUCGCCGGGCUGGGGCAGAGGCGGGGUGGUGGGGCCCCGUCCUGGUGCCAGGGACCGUGGAAGCUCAGGCACCCGUGUGCCGGGUCUAAGGAGGCCCAGGUGGACCUCCUCCCCUCCCCGUAGCGCCCUGCCCUCCCCGCCUGCUUCUGAGCCUUCUGCAUCCUCACGUCCCCAGCCACUCCCAUCGCCUCCAGGAACCAGCUUCCCAGCAGCUCCUUCACAAGCGAGAUCAGAAACGAGGCCGGGAGGGCAGCUGGAAGUCGAGCGAUCGCUGCCCAGUGUGCCCGCUGACGUCCCUGGCCCAGUGCCAGAGAAAGAGUGGUCACCUGGGAGGAUGGCCACUUCUUGUGUGGGGGUGCUGACAGCGGUGUGACCUGAGCACGUCCCCCUCUGUGUGGCCAGGACAGCGUGCGAUCAGCCCUGCUCCAGAUGAACCGGCCCCGCUCCUCCUGGGACAGCCAUGCCUGCCACCUACCCCCACCCCCGCCCAGGCCCCUUUCUCACACCUGCAUCCAGCACCACCAUCCUUCCGAUUGUCGGCUUUGUGGGUUCCACAGCCCCAGCUUUAUGUUCAACAUGAUGACAGCAUGAAUGGACAGCUGAGGAAACACAUGAUGCAGUGAAUGAACCUCUUCAGUCCCAUACACCCCGGGCCCACCAACCCCAUGGAGGCUGUGCCUGGCUAGGCGGAUCCCUAGAACGUGCCUCAGGCAAGACAGGGAGCAGGGACAGUCCUGCUGGUUGGAUCACCAGGUGGACUGGUGGCCACUGGUGGAGGUGGCGGGCAGCAGUCACGGCGGGGUCAGGGACGGCCUUUCCCAACCACUAGCCACACCUUCUGUCUUCCCACUCACCUGCCUCUGGCUGGGGCCCUGAGGGCAGGGCCGGGUGGCAGCACCUGCCUGCCCAGAUCCGGCCGCCCCUGCCUGCUCAUCGCAGGUGCUCCAAGGCUGUGACUGAGCAAACAAAGUCAGGAAGGACCAGAGAAAGAAGGAACCGGGGGAAGACUGGACUGACGGGAUACAGUGCGGAAGGCUAUGCAAACGCCUGACGCCCAGCUGAGGGCACCUUUGGGGACAGCUGUGGAGGACAGGGGACGGGGAGGGUCAGGGGACAGGGCAGUGUUUCCUGCCCACACCUGGGCGCAGAUCGGGCCCUUAGAACUGACUGGUCCCAGGUGAGGUCAUGAGGGGGUGACGGCACCCCCAGAGGGGCGAGGCCCCACCCUGGACCACUGCCCCAGCCCUCAGGGCGCGGACUUCAUGCUGCGUCGUCAGCUGCGUGCUGUCUGGUGACAAAGAUCUGUGCCUGACCAACCUCUAGUCAUCUCCGGAACCUCCUCCGGGGCCCAGCUGUGCCCUUCCUUGUAAAUCCAGUUUUAGAGAGAACCCCAGCCCUGGAUAUCUGAUCCGGUUCCUCGUCCCCCACCCCCCAGGUGAGGUCUGACCAUCCUGCUGCCUUCAGCAAGAAUCCUGUCAAAUUGGUUUACCCGGAACCGCCCCCAGGUUUCCUCUCAGUACUUUCCACGCCCCGCACCCACUGCUCCUUGGCUGUCAGCCCCGCUGCCCCUGCUGUAUUCAGGGUCCAGCCCCAGCUCUCGCCCGCUGCAGCGGGCCCUGCACCCACUGUGACAGCCCCAGCCUCCCCCGAGUGAGCCUCACUGGGCUGGAACAAGUGUUGCUGGAUUCUCCUCUUUAAGGCUGGUUCCCCUGAGGACAGGUUCCUGGGCACCAGGGCCCAGUGAGAACGUGUCAGCCCCGUGGGCUCUGAAAACAAGAAGAAAGGAGGGGGCUGAGCGGAGGAGCUGGGUGGGGAGGGGUCCGGGUCUGCGCUGUGAGGGGAAGGGCCCCCACACUCUGCCUGCGGCCCUACGAGGUGGGGGAGAUUCGGGAAAUGAAACUCCAUGGGGCCCAAGCACAUCUAAACCCCCUGGUAGACCCCGUGGGCCCAUCACAGGGACAGUCAACGGUCCCAAGGGAUUCAGCCACGGGAGAAGGACGCCCCGUUGGAGGCAGCCUGGCAGGAGCUGAGGACGUCAGUCUCCAAAAUGGAACCCAACCUUGCAGUGGGCGGCAGCCCCGGGCACAAGGAAAGGAGCCACGUGUGGUUCUGGGUGGAGUGGACGAGAGGAGCUGCAUGCGACCCCGGGCGGAGCUGAGGAGAAGAGCAGCAUGCAGACAAGGGUGAGGCCCUGUGCAGCCCAGGCUCUCAGGCUCCAGCUGCUCUGCAGGGGCCCAGACCUUCCCAGGUCCUGGAGGCAGCACAGCCCGGUGCCCUGAGGUGGACAGAGCCAUGGCCUGUGGGACGAGCACGCCCGCAGUCCCUCAGGGCCAAGAGGCCGCCUGGGUAGAGGUGCUCAGGCUCUCCUCCCUCCUCCUUGGCCUCCCACACCUCCUCACACAGGGGAGUGGGAAAGUUGUUACCGCGCCAGGUUCGUUUUUGCCUGCCACCCAGCUGCAAAGCCAAACACCCAGAGGAGGAGAUUGCAGCAGAGAGAGAGUUUACUCAC